GUUUUAUAUUACCUUAUAAUAUGUUAUGUAAAAAAUGUAGCAAUCUAAUGGUGAUAUCUGUUUUUUUGCUUGAGUAACUCGUAAAUGUCUUAUAUUGUCUUCAUAAGAGUAAUGCCUUUUUCAUAAGCACGGUGCUAGACUACUGUGUGAGGACACACACUACAUGAGCUUCCACGAUUUCCUUAUUUGAUGGAGGUCUUUCGCUGUUUUCAUAUUCUACAUGAUCAGUGUCGGCCUAUUCAAGUGUUUGACGAUUAAUAACCGCGAUACGGAUAUCCUCUUGCUUCAAAUAACCAACGUGUUGUUUCAAUAACCCGCGAUUCAUUCUCAAUGUUUUAAUAUACGACCGGGACAUUUUGUUUUAAUAACAACGCGAUUGUAUAUCUGUAUUAUCCGUGUUCCUAAUAAGCGGCU